AAGGCCCCUUCGGGGGUGCUCGAGUGGCGAACGGGUGAGUAACACGUGGGUGAUCUGCCUCGUACUCUGGGAUAAGCCUGGGAAACUGGGUCUAAUACUGGAUAGGACCGCACUUUAGUGUGUGUGGUGGAAAGUUUUUUCGGUACGAGAUGAGCCCGCGGCCUAUCAGCUUGUUGGUGGGGUAAUGGCCUACCAAGGCGUCGACGGGUAGCCGGCCUGAGAGGGUGGACGGCCACAUUGGGACUGAGAUACGGCCCAGACUCCUACGGGAGGCAGCAGUGGGGAAUAUUGCACAAUGGGCGCAAGCCUGAUGCAGCGACGCCGCGUGAGGGAUGACGGCCUUCGGGUUGUAAACCUCUUUCGACAGGGACGAAGCUUUUUGUGACGGUACCUGUAUAAGAAGCACCGGCUAACUACGUGCCAGCAGCCGCGGUAAUACGUAGGGUGCGAGCGUUGUCCGGAAUUACUGGGCGUAAAGAGCUCGUAGGUGGUUUGUCGCGUCGUCUGUGAAAUUCCGGGGCUUAACUCCGGGCGUGCAGGCGAUACGGGCAUAACUUGAGUGCUGUAGGGGAGACUGGAAUUCCUGGUGUAGCGGUGGAAUGCGCAGAUAUCAGGAGGAACACCGAUGGCGAAGGCAGGUCUCUGGGCAGUAACUGACGCUGAGGAGCGAAAGCAUGGGGAGCGAACAGGAUUAGAUACCCUGGUAGUCCAUGCCGUAAACGGUGGGCGCUAGGUGUGAGGGUCUUCCACGACUUUCGUGCCGUAGCUAACGCAUUAAGCGCCCCGCCUGG
rnacentral:rRNA from 1 species